rnacentral:tRNA from 1 species
GCCUGAGUGGCUCAGUGGUUGAGCAUCUGCCUUUGGCUCAGGUUGUGAUCCCAGGAUCCUGGGAUCAAAUCCCACAUCAGGCU